UUUUCUAGUACACUAUAAACGAAGAAAAGGAGGUACCUGUGAUAUUUUUACGACAUGAAAAGUAAACAGUUCAAUCCUAUUGCUCAUAGUAUGAAUGGAAAUUAUGCACACAAAAUGGCGACCACCUCCAAAACUGAACAAAACUGUGGUAAGUGUCUCUUGUUUAUAAGAUGAACAUUAGCAACUUUACCUGAUACUUAAGGUUGAGUGGCCAUCUAAAAGAAAACAGAAUAAAGAAAUAGAACAUGCGCCAGGGGGAAAUAUUCCUGUUAGCUUUUGGAAUAUUACUUAUAUUAUUAGCAUCAAUAUACUUUUUGAGGUGCAAUAAACAGAAACUCAAGGAUUGUUGUACAAUAUAUUGCGAGUGCUUCCUAUCACUUGGAGAUUGUGCAUGGUGCAGGCAAAGACUCUCAUCUGUGUUAAGAAGAUCCAAUGGUGAAAUAAGUACAAAUAGACGAGACGUCAGCACAAUUGGGGAUGAAAAUCCGGGAAUUUAUAAUGUUAGCUAUGAUCCCCCGUCCUAUGACUCUGUGAUAUCAGACAAUAGAGACCCUGAUUUGCCGACUUAUGAAGAAGCAAUAUCUCAUGUUAAUGAAAUGGAACGGAGUGCAAACAAAGCAUGAUUUCAGUGUGUGUGUGUGUGUGUGUGUGUGUGUGUGUGUGUGUCAAAGAAGCAUGAAACCAACUGCAAUAAAUGAAGGGUCAUUCGAGGCCUCAAUAUAGUAAUACUGCAAAUGGAAACGUCAUGCUUUUAGAACACUGUUAAUCAUGUUGAGAUUUUCUCUGCUGUCAAAGUAGGUUAUCAAAUUCAUUGUAUGGCAAAUAGAUUUUUUAUUGCUUUAAA